UGUCUUUAUCAAGAGCCUUUUGGGAUGUAAGUGAUAGAGAAAAGAGGCUUCCAUGAAUAACUAGCAAAAAUAAAAAUUAUUGUUUCCUCUCCCUCUUCCUCCUCCAACCUCUCUUCCUGUCCUGUUGUCUCUUUCCUGCCUUGGACCAUGAACUCACUUCCCACUUUUCUAACUCUGGGGAGAAGUGUCUGGUAUUUUCCAGGGAUGUUGACUCAGUUUCAUGUCAUUUUUGCUGUUAUCCAGACUUUCUGGUUGAUCUUAGCCCCUAAAUAACCAGACUUUCUGGCUUGAGCUCCUGAACUCCCUACAUCCCUUUCAUUCUUCCACUAACAUCUGAAGACCUGCUGCAAGCUUGCCACUGCGGCACAAGGGGAGAGAGCCGAAGAUUCAAUUCUGGAGUCUGCCCCCUUUGAAGAGCAGCCGCCUGGCUUCUGGUGGCCACAGCAGCAGAUCAUAGAAUGCCGGCUAAUUUCCAAUUCAAUUAGAAGUACUCCAGAGAAUGUGUGUGUGUGGACACCACCACCCAGAGGGAGCUGAAGCAGGUGGGCUGGGGAUUGCUGUGGUAAAGAUGCUGAAUGCAGGAUCCUGGGAGUGUGGCCGCGACAUCUGCCAUGGGAUGGAUCGUUCCCCAGACCUACACUGCUGCUUGGUCAGACCCCUGCGCCAGACGGGAUGUCAGGAGAUUCUCUUUUCUGGGUGCCAGGGAACAGGGUUACUCUGCCCUCCAGCCUGCUCAGAGCACCCGGAACAGGCCUGAGCCCUGGGCCCACAGAUGGGAACCACCUCAUCCUUCACUACUCCUUGCCCUACAUUGUGAUCCCUCAAGCUCCAUCUUGGACCCUGGAACCAGCUUCUCCCCUCCGUAGCCCCUCAGCCCUUCCUGUUGCUGACCAGCGGCAGAAAGCCUGGGCAGUGAGUGGAAGGGAGACCAUAGCACCUGCUCUGUGCUCAUGGCAGGGACUCCGGCCGGUGCCCCAGGCUGGCCCUGCCUGGUGGUGCCUCUUCAGUGCUCCCUCCCUGCGGCUGCCCCAUCUCGUCAUCUGGAGGCCCCAGAGGCGGCACUGGCAGCAGUUUAGCCAGAGUCUGUCCCCAGAGCAAAUUGUCUGGGAGCUCUGCCAGCUUGUGAAGAAAAUCUGCUUUGUGAACAGGGGAAGAAGCCUCUUUUAUGCUUUCUGCUAAUCAUGUUAUUCACAUAAGAGAGCUCUUCGUGCUUCCUUCCUUUCCCACAAGCCCCUGCUUGCCCAGGAGUCUUGAGGAGACCAGAAGGAAAAGGUGAACAGGUGGUGAACGAUUGUCCAAAAUAUGAAGGAAACAGUAAAAUAUGGUGUUCUAAGAAACGGUUCCAUUUCUCAAAGGGCUAAGUAUUGUA